rnacentral:tRNA from 1 species
GCCUGAGUAGCUCAGUUGGAAGAGCAGCGCACUUGUAAUGCGCCGGUCGGGGGUCCGAGUCCCUCCUCAGGCU